rnacentral:lncRNA from 1 species
GUUACCAGCCUUGCAGAAUGCCAGAUUAUGUUUAAUUAAUUUAGUGGGGUAAAUGUUGCCCUCUGAAGGGUUAAGUCAAUUCUCACAGCAUCCAAGUGGAGCCACCACAGUUAGUGACUGAUCUACAGGCUCUUUGGAUGGAGAUGUUAAUUGGCUGGAUGCUGAGUAGUGUGCAAUUUUAUGAAGAAUAGCUGCAGCUUUGCAUCUGUGUAAUAUUUUAACUGAGCAGGUAAUUGGAAGUAGACCUUCAAGAGUAACUGUUAGAAGGCAAGGAACAAACCGUGUAUUGUCCCUUUGAGGAUGUGUAAGGGUGAGGAUAGAAAAAGAAAAGGAAAAACACAGUUGUUUUUCUCUGUGCUUCAUCUUCGUGGAAAAACAACUAUAAUUCAUUUCAGUGUAUCUGCUUUUUUUUUUUUGUAACAGUGUUUAGUGUGCAUGCUUGAGUGGCAGAGAACAAAAUGUACUUUUUGAAGAUAAGAAAUGUUUUAAAUGAUGAGAGCAGCAUGCACUGAACAUGAACAAGCACAAAUCAUUCAGACACCUCUUUAAAUUUCAAAUGUUGAAUUUAAGUGGCUUAAAAUCAAGCUGAGGUAAUAAUAUAAAAAUACGCAGGUUUUUUUUUCUAAAUCCAGUGUUUAUAAUUGAUAUUGUUAUUGUACAUCAAGCAGCUGCUUAUGGCAAGCCUUGAAGUAACUGACCCCAAAUCUGAGUCCAAUAGCAUUCUGGAAUGAAUUGUUCCCAGUCCUUGCUCUUCUAAACCAGCCUCAUUUCUGACAGUGGUAGAAACAUCUGUACUUGGCCUCUGUUUGUGCUGUUGCUGGGGAUAUGACAUGCACUGAAACUACCAAAUUUAGAGAUCCUGACAGCUAGACAAGAGCAUCUGAAUCCUGAUAGUCCCAGGGAGGUGAUGGGCACGUUGGUAAGGUGAGAACAGUGUUGCUGUUUCAUGGUGUUGCUGGAAGAUGAGUAACUUCAGACAGAGUAUAAUAGCAAUAAAAUGGUGACAGAAUUAUUAUGAUGUUAUAAUUGCUACAUGAGAGUUCAAACCUAUUCCACGUUUAUCUACACCUCUCUUUUGCCUGCCUUAUGUUGUUAAUAUGUAGACAAUACAGACAAUAUAUGAGAGAAAACCUGUGAGAGUCAUCCCUUCAUUGUCAAUAAUUUUCCUAGGGUUUUUAUAUUUGUGGGAAGAGGAAUUAAAUGGGGGAUUUAACAAGACUACGUUAUCUCUAAAUACCAUUAUACUUGUAUUCUGGUCCUGGUUCAAAGUCUUAUGUUACUGUAGUCAAAAUAACAUUGUUUUUUUCAUUGAAGCUGAAAACUUGAAAAGAGAUCAGUGUUGUAAAUGAGGAUUGCUCAUUGCUUUGACUUCUAAACCAAUGUCAUUUAAUACAUGCUAUCUGUGUACCACUGAGCUCUACUCUUCUUUCUGUAAGUGCCAAGUUAUGUGUUUCCAGAAGGUUCAAAUCUAUCUGUAAGCAAAAAGUUAGGGGAGCUGCAAUAGAGAGUGCUUUCCUCCAGUCUGUUCCUUAUCACCUAGUGCAAUUAAAUAAUCAUAAUAAGUAAAGCUUUUAUAUUUAGUCUGUUUUUUAAAUAUCUCAGUUCCCUCAACCCUUCCUCAUAGGAGAGGUGCUCCAGCCCUCUGAUCAUCUUAGUGGCCCUCCUCUGGACCUGCUCCAAGAGCUCCACAUCCUUCCUGUACUGGGGGCCCCAGGCCUGGACGCAGUACUCCAGGUGGGGCCUCACAAGAGCUGAGUAGAGGGCCACAAUCACCUCCCUCUCCCUGCUGGCUACCCCUUUUUUUAAUGCAGCCCAGAACACAGUUGGCCUUCCAAGUGCACGCUGCUGGCUCAUGUCCAGCUUCUUGUCCACCAGGACCCUCAAGUCC